GACGAACGCUGGCGGCGUGCCUAAUACAUGCAAGUAGAACGCUGAAGGAGGAGCUUGCUCUUCUGGAUGAGUUGCGAACGGGUGAGUAACGCGUAGGUAACCUGCCUGGUAGCGGGGGAUAACUAUUGGAAACGAUAGCUAAUACCGCAUAACAGUAGAUGUUGCAUGACAUUUGCUUAAAAGGUGCAAUUGCAUCACUACCAGAUGGACCUGCGUUGUAUUAGCUAGUUGGUGGGGUAACGGCUCACCAAGGCGACGAUACAUAGCCGACCUGAGAGGGUGAUCGGCCACACUGGGACUGAGACACGGCCCAGACUCCUACGGGAGGCAGCAGUAGGGAAUCUUCGGCAAAGGACGGAAGUCUGACCGAGCAACGCCGCGUGAGUGAAGAAGGUUUUCGGAUCGUAAAGCUCUGUUGUAAGAGAAGAACGAGUGUGAGAGUGGAAAGUUCACACUGUGACGGUAUCUUACCAGAAAGGGACGGCUAACUACGU
rnacentral:rRNA from 1 species